rnacentral:sRNA from 1 species
UUUCAUAAAAACAUAUCUUUGUUUCUCAUACAUAUUCUAUGAAAUAUUCCUUAUUCUAUGGAAAAUUGCACAUUUGUGUAUUGAAACUUUCAGUUAACCCAGUGAAAUACCUCAUUGUAUCAGUAUCUAUGGCUCUUUCUAUAAACUUUCAGUAGUUUUUCCAUGUAAUAGGACAAUGAAGGAAGGUCAUGAAAAAAGUGACAAAAGGAAUUGAUCCUGGCCCUUGGUUUUAUAUAUUUUUGUAUUAUUUGAAUUGUCUAUUCAGGGGCAAAGGAAUAUACCAGAAUUGCUACACUGAUUCCAAAUUCCAGUUCAUAAUAUACCAGUCCUUAGCAUGGCUCUAAAUGUAAUAUACAAAUAUGUGUUAUUUCAAGGCACAUGCAUAGGACUGUUAUGGAAUUCACCCUAUAUUAUGAGAAUCAACCAAAUUCUCUCUUUCUCUUGCUCUCUUUAUCAGCUCAUAGCAUGUAAUGUCAUGAGUUCCUAGUACUGCCCGAUUGGGGCACUCUCAGUGGAUUCUCUCACGCUUGAUAGUGCUGUGUAAGCAGUGAAGAAGCGAGAAGAACAAAGGUCUUGGCCAAAGGGACAGGACAAUGAAGGAUGGCACCUGUCAACAGUGUGGCUGGAGGAGUGUGGCCUCCAUCUACAUGGUGUAGCUUGGGACUUAGAAACUGGAGAAAUGCUUUUCACUUCUCCCUUUGGUUUGAUGGGCUGGCCUAGGCCUGCUGGCACAGAGACAAGACUUGCAUAGCCUACAUGAAAUUAAACUGAAGACUUCAGCUGUCAAGGUGCAGGCCACACCAAGCAAGAGAACUAGAGUAGGCGACUACAGUUUGAAGAACAGGUGGAAGCCAAGCAGGUAGGUGAACUCUCUGCUGGAUCAGAGAUCACACAGAAGGUCAGAACCCAGAUAGAAAAGGACCAGUGGAUGUCCUCCACUCACUCAGUGCCCCUCAUGCCCACUCCUCAACUUGGAGAGAACCUCCCCCAUGACUGUACUAAUGACCAAGUUAGCCACCAAAAAUCUAGUCCCCAACUUAGAAAGAUACUCCCCUACCAGAUCAGAGGACACAGAGGCCACCAGAAAUCCAGGCUACAAAGAUCAUAAGACCAAAGAGGAAACAGAAACCAAGGGACAAAGCACCAUCUAGUAGAGACAAACUAAGAAAUCAGCACCUAGACUUGUGGUCAUCCCAAACCCAAAUGCCUAAAUGCCGGUGUAAGAACACAAUCAACAAUAGCCAGGGCAACAUGGCACCACCAGAGCCCAGCCAUCCUCUGACAGCAGGACCUGAAUAUUCCAUCAUAGCUGAACUAGAAGAAAAUGACCUUAAAACCAACUUUAUGGAGAUGAUAAAAGUCUUUGUCUUAGG